GGGACUAAGCAUUGUGAAGACAACACACCACUCUUUCAAAGACCUCAAAGUAGCUCCUCCCUCAAGUUGUCAACCCAAUGCACUCUGACGUCGACUCGUUACCUCAAUUCAACUUCAAGGCUGCAGACUUUUGAGCAUUUCCACCAAGAAACGUCUCAUCCCAGGACGACACGGUGCAUAUCCUGUGUACUACUACAAGCCUCAUUUCAGCUAGAGCAUAAUGUCUGUGGACACAGAAAUGGGGGAAAUGUGAAAACAGGGAGGCACCGACGAGCUCCGAUCAUGAGGCGUGGUCAUCCCAUCAGCAGUGCAUCACAAGGAGGCAUGUUGUAAGCCAGUCCCACUAUUACCAUAAGGGCAUUCCUGUGUUUGUUCAAGAUAUAAGAAUGUGGCCCUUAGGCGGUCUUAGGCGGUCUACAAAAUCUGACCGUUUUUUUUCUCUGAAGCCAACUAGGCUAGACAUUAUGUAAUAUGGGACGAUGCAAUCAUGUGUUUACUGUAGCAAUAAGCCAUUGUUUUAUGCAGCUACAUACACUAUGGAAGUUUGGUUAAUUGCAAAAUGUUGGCAUGCAUGUUUACUUUGUGGUGGUUCAUGACAUAGACUGGCCAGGUGAAUCCAGGUGAAUUAUUGAUGUCACUUGUUAAAUCCACUUAAAUCAGUCUAGAUAUAGGGGAGGAGGACAGGUUAAAGAAGGAUUUUUAAGCCUUGAGACAAUUGAGACAUGGAUUGUUUAUAUGUGUCAUUCAGAGGGUGACUGGUAAAUACAACAUAUCUGAGUGCCUUUGAACAGGGUAUGUUACUGUAGUAGGUGCCAGGCGCAGCGGUUUAGGUCAAGAACUGCAACGCUGUUGGGGUUUUUCACACUCAACGGUUUCCCAUUUGUAUGAAGAAUGUACAUAUGUGCUAUAAUAUUAAUGACUUAAUAUUAAUCCAUUUAUUAUCUCAAAACCAUACAAAUGCUCAUUUUUAGCCAAACAAUUAAUGUGCUUACUCAACUGUGUGGGAAGGUGUGCCCCAUUAGUACAUUUUUCUAUCCAAUAUUUCUCUUCAUUUAGGUGACCCCUCAGACGCAAAGGUUCCAUAUAGCCUCUUUUAACUACUGUGAAUUCAUGUGAACUUGGAUAUAUGAAGGAAUGAUUCU
rnacentral:lncRNA from 13 species